ACGGUUGCUACGGCUGCUGCAGGCAUCUUCCAUGCAUCAAGCCUUGAGCUUAUGGUUAUGUCAAGAAAAGCUUUUGAGCCACUUGCAAGCUACAGCCAGUGAAUUCAUUUUUGAUAUUUUCGUACCAUGCAUGAUUCUUUCUAUACUGGGGUCAUGCAUGUGGGCCUCUUUAUGAGGAUUCUCGUGUGGAAUUUCUAUGAUGCUUCUCCGGAAUUUUUACAUCUUUGUGUCAGCCUGAGAAGUGAAGGAUUUUUUGCUAAUGGAAAGGAAAAGAGCCUUGUAGUUUGAACCUAAUUUCUAUGUCUCAUAUGUAACCUGAACCUAAUUUGAAUGUCUCUUCUAUAACGGUACAUAAUUACCUAAAAGCACUCUCAUGAUUUACACAUCGCCACUCUUGUUAGCCAGCUCGCCAAUGGUGCGCCCCCUUCAACUAAAUUGGUACCUUUAUAGCUCUUAUCAUUGAACUAUUAAAUAACACAGUACUAAUAAACAACUACAAGGAAAAAUGAUUGACUUGCAACCAUCCUUUAGAUUGUUGCCUUGUACUAAGUAAAAUGUAAAGGUGAGCAAGAUCAUGUUUUUUUAACAACGAAUAGAUUUGUUUCUUGUUGAUUCGAUGCCUCCAGACAUGAGUAAAGGAGCAUUUUAAAAGUAUAAUUUUUCCCUUCUUCGAUGCGUUGUUCAUUUCCUCUAUGGAUCUUUGACUCUGCUCUGUUCCACCUUUUACCACUGCUCAACUUAACAGUGUUCCUGCUCCAUUAAUGUUGUUUUUUUCUUCCUUUUUCAUUCCUAGCUUCUGAGCAGCAUGGUAAAUGAAAAGAGGUACUGCACUAGGAGCCUUUUGGACAUAAUCCGAUAGAAAAGAACGGCAGAAAUUAGCUGGUCGAUGUUUUCUUUGCACCCCAAUUCAGCAAGCCGCUGGUACUCAAACAUGAGGGAAGGUGUGUCAAGGCUAUCUCCAAAAGGACAUCCGAAACAUCGAGUUGGGUAAGUGCUCCUCCUUGCCGUUUGUGUCGUUAUUCACUUUAGUCCUAAUGCAAAGUUAUAGGAUUUUUAUGGACAUCCUGGUAGGAAGUCAAUGCAAAUUUAUAAGAUUUUGGGAUGACAAUUUUUAUCAUUUAUA